rnacentral:rRNA from 1 species
UACGUAGGGGGCAAGCGUUGUCCGGAAUCAUUGGGCGUAAAGCGCGUGUAGGCGGCUUGGUAAGUCUGCUCUGAAAGCCCGGGGCUCAACCCCGGGAGGCGGGUGGAUACUGUCAAGCUCGAGUCCGGAAGAGGAGUGUGGAAUUCCUGGUGUAGCGGUGAAAUGCGCAGAUAUCAGGAGGAACACCAGUGGCGAAGGCGACACGCUGGGCCGUACCUGACGCUAAAGCGCGACAGCAUGGGGAGCAAACGGG